CUCCUUUCAUGGAAACAAAUCCUUGGUACCCUGGAUGACAUGGUAUAUUUAACCAGAGGGAUGGGGGAAUAGGUGUCAAAGGUGUCAACAUCUCUUGCAGGUUUCUUCAGCAUGCAGACAUACAGCAAAAACUCACUUUACUGAGGGGCCUUUUCUCCAGAUUCAGGUAUAUUUCGGGGAGAGGAUCUUUUCCUUGAUCUCCAAAAUGGAAAUUAUAUCACCUACUGGUGUGAUGCCUUCUUGAACCACAGACCCAGCUGUAAGAAGAUGAUGCCUGACUUCAAGCACUGAAAGACAUGCUUCUUUGGAAGAGAGCCUGAGCAAGACUUGACAGUAGACAUAGUUUAUCCUGUUUACUGUCAUCAGCCAGUAAAGAAGCCAGCAUUAUCUCUAAAAGCCUCAAACUGGAAACAGCCCAAGGGUCCAACAGGUCAAGACCAUGUUUUCACAAAGCAAUGGAAUACAAUUGUAUUGAUCCAACCACCAGGUUUAUAAAAUAAAAAAGAGGAAUAGGAUCUUCUAAA